GACGAACGCUGGCGGCGUGCUUAACACAUGCAAGUCGAACGGAAAGGCCCUGCUUUUGUGGGGUGCUCGAGUGGCGAACGGGUGAGUAACACGUGAGUAACCUGCCCUUGACUUUGGGAUAACUUCAGGAAACUGGGGCUAAUACCGGAUAGGAGCUCCUGCUGCAUGGUGGGGGUUGGAAAGUUUCGGCGGUUGGGGAUGGACUCGCGGCUUAUCAGCUUGUUGGUGGGGUAGUGGCUUACCAAGGCUUUGACGGGUAGCCGGCCUGAGAGGGUGACCGGCCACAUUGGGACUGAGAUACGGCCCAGACUCCUACGGGAGGCAGCAGUGGGGAAUAUUGCACAAUGGGCGGAAGCCUGAAGGAGCAACGCCGCGUGAGUGAUGAAGGUCUUCGGAUCGUAAAACUCUGUUAUUAGGGAAGAACAAAUGUGUAAGUAACUAUGCACGUCUUGACGGUACCUAAUCAGAAAGCCACGGCUAACUACGUG
rnacentral:rRNA from 1 species